rnacentral:rRNA from 1 species
GACGAACCGUGCAAACGUUGUUCGGAAUCACUGGGCUUAAAGGGCGCGUAGGCGGGUUGCCAAGUCCGGGGUGAAAGCCCCCAGCUCAACUGGGGAAGGGCCUUGGAUACUGGUGAUCUCGAGGGAGGUAGGGGCAUGCGGAACUUCCGGUGGAGCGGUGAAAUGCGUAGAUAUCGGAAGGAACGCCGGUGGCGAAAGCGGCGUGCUGGACCUCUUCUGACGCUGAGGCGCGAAAGCCAGGGAGCGAACGGG